UGUGAAUAUUGUUUUUUCUUUGUUGGUCUUUCUUCGAAGUGAAGCAAAGUGACUUGAACAAUGCACAGAAAUAUAUUAAACAGUUCUAUACCCUGGGAGAUGGCUCUGAAGGUCUCCUAGAAAGUAAGGACUCCCUAUCAGGAAAGAUUAAAGAAGUGCAACAAUUCUAUGGACUGCAGGAAACAGGGAAACUGACUAUGAAACUAUGACAAUGCCUCGAUGUGGAUCUCUUGACCUUGCUUAAUAUAGACUAUCCAGGAAGACCUCAACGAACCAUUUGUCACAUACAGAUCAUAACACAAGCAGCUUCAGUAAGAGUUUUCCAUCUCACCCCAGUGCCAUUACCUCUGGAGCCCACCACAAAGUUCUCACCUGAUGGUAAAGACAAAAAAACUGCGGACGCUGGAAAUCCAAAACAAAAACAGAAUUACCUGGAAAAACUCAGCAGGUCUGGCAGCAUCGGCGGAGAAGAAAAGAGAUGACGUUUCGACUCCUCAUUUUCCUUCAGGUUUCAUUUGCAAUAAACCUACACCUGUGGAACUGGAUGAGUGUGUGUAGCCUCUCAUCACUUUCAGCAGUUUCACCUUUACCUAUCUGAGGUCCUGCAAUCUGGCUUCUAUGUCUUCCAGAAUUAUUCUUUUGGUUAAAGUGUUAA